UGUGCUGGCGGAGAGAGAAAUCUGAGCCUCCGCCACGCCAGGAGCAGGCUUUGCACAAACUAUCUGGUUUCAAGUUGCGAGUCUCCGGAGUCUCUGGGAAGGUGCCCCAGGGACAGGACCCCCAGGAUUAAUGAGAAUCCCCCAUCCCCAGCCGCCCAGAGGAUAAGCAGGUGGGGAAAAUGAUGUCUUGACAAGAUUAUGGAACUGGCCAAGGCAUCCAGAAUCCCACUACCCCUUCUGGAGCCAUUGCUACCUCAAGCCAGCUGUUGGAGCGGCCACUGGGUGCUAACCCUGGUCCCACUCGUGCCUUCCAGCACCUUGUCCAGGUGCCAUUGGAAGGCAGAAGAAGCCAUCAGAUCUACUGAGGCUGGAGCUACAUGUAGUCAUGAGCUUCCUGAUGUGGAUUCUGGGAUGGAACUCCAGUUCUCCACAAAGCAGUUGGGCCAUAAUUCCAAAAUAUGCAGUUCUGAAUACAAUAAUCCUGAAUAUUGGAAUCCCCGAAGUUCAAAAUUCUCCAAGUCUGACUUAAAAUUUGCUAAGAGAGAUUCACGCUUUAAAAGAAGAUUUGAGAAACACACAAAACCUUAUUGAAAUAGGAAGUAAGGAAAGAUGUAGUGUUAUAAGCACCUUGCUCAAGCACUCCUAUGAAACUAUCAAAGCAUAAUGCUUACCAACAGUGAAACCACAGCCAUGGGGGAGAAAACAGCUCAGAAGUAAAAUGUGUGAACACAGAUCACUACAGCUGGUAACUAUGCUCACCAGGUUGUAUGUGCAGUCUUCUACAAUGUCCGAAUGGAUAACCUAAAUCAGGAGAUGUGUUGAAAACAGUGAUUCUUGAUCACAAAGCCAGUCAACACACAUCUCAAGCAUUCUAAAGAACAGAAUGAUGUCUGAUCUUAGACUAUAAACCUUUUGUUUUCUCCCUGGUGUGGGGGAUAUGGAAGUCAACCUGAUGAAGGAAAAGGUGGGAUGGAGAGCAAGGUGCCCAGGUUCCUGUGACUCCUCAAAGAGUCCUGAUCUGCAUUAGAUCUAAGAUAGCUCCCGGAACAUGGGUGAGUCAGCAUAAAGGAACAGAGGUCAGGGUGGUGGCUGCUUCCCCCAUCUUCACGGAAGUCUAAAUAGGUGACAAAGCUUUGCUCCCCUGUUCCUACCCUUCUGAGUUACCUUAUCAGGCAGGGCUUUUAUUGGGGGCACUGUGUUGGUGUGGUGAGAUAUGAUUGGUGGAGGAUUAAGAUGCUUAGGGUUGGCUCAAACACUGUAUAUGCGCUUAUGUGCUGGACAAUAAACUUAAA